rnacentral:rRNA from 1 species
GGACGAACGCUGGCAGCGUGCUUAACACAUGCAAGUCGAACGGUGACGAGGGGCUUGCCCCUCCGAUCAGUGGCGAACGGGUGAGUAACACGUGAGUAACCUGCCCCAGACUCUGGGAUAACCCCGGGAAACCGGAGCUAAUACCGGAUACGAGACGAAGAGGCAUCUCUAUCGUCUGGAAAGUUUUUCGGUCUGGGAUGGACUCGCGGCCUAUCAGCUUGUUGGUGAGGUAAUGGCUCACCAAGGCGACGACGGGUAGCCGGCCUGAGAGGGCGACCGGCCACACUGGGACUGAGACACGGCCCAGACUCCUACGGGAGGCAGCAGUGGGGAAUAUUGGUCAAUGGGCGGAAGCCUGAACCAGCCAUGCCGCGUGCAGGAUGACGGCCCUACGGGUUGUAAACUGCUUUUCCCCGGGGCGAAUAACCCCCUCGCGAGGGGGGAUGCCGGUACCGGGGGAAUAAGGAUCGGCUAACUCCGUGCCAGCAGCCGCGGUAAUACGGAGGAUCCGAGCGUUAUCCGGAUUUACUGGGUUUAAAGGGUGCGUAGGCGGGUGGCUCAGUCGGCGGUGAAAUGCAGCGGCUCAACCGUUGCCCUGCCGUCGAAACUGGCCGCCUUGAAUUCGGUCGAGGCCGGCGGAAUGCGCGGUGUAGCGGUGAAAUGCUUAGAUAUCGCGCGGAACGCCGAUUGCGGAGGCAGCUGGCUGGACCGAGAUUGACGCUGAUGCACGACAGCGUGGGGAUCGAACAGGAUUAGAUACCCUGGUAGUCCACGCCGUAAACGAUGAUGGCUGGGUGUUGGCGAUACACUGUCAGCGCCUGAGCGAAAGCAUUAAGCCAUCCACCUGGGGAGUACGAUCGCAAGGUUGAAACUCAAAGGAAUUGACGGGGGCCCGCACAAGCGGAGGAACAUGUGGUUUAAUUCGAUGAUACGCGAGGAACCUUACCUGGGCUCGAACGCCCACCGACGGCACCGGAGACGGUGCUCUCCAGCGAUGGCGGUGGGCGAGGUGCUGCAUGGUUGUCGUCAGCUCGUGCCGUGAGGUGUCGGGUUAAGUCCCGCAACGAGCGCAACCCCUGCUUCCAGUUACCAUCAUUUAGUUGGGGACUCUGGAAGGACCGCUGCGGUAACAACGCAGAGGAAGAUGGGGACGACGUCAAGUCAUCAUGGUCCUUAUGUCCGGGGCUACACACGUGCUACAAUGGUAGUUACAGAGGGAAGCGAAGCUGCGAGGUGGAGCGAAUCUCAUAAAAGCUGCCACAGUUCGGAUUGAGGUCUGCAACUCGACCUCAUGAAGUCGGAAUCGCUAGUAAUCGCGCAACAUCAUGGCGCGGUGAAUACGUUCCCGGGCCU